UACGGGGGGGGGCAAGCGUUGUUCGGAAUUACUGGGCGUAAAGGGCUCGUAGGCGGCCAACUAAGUCAGACGUGAAAUCCCUCGGCUUAACCGGGGGAACUGCGUCUGAUACUGGCAGGCUUGAAUCCGGGAGAGGGAUGCGGAAUUCCAGGUGUAGCGGUGAAAUGCGUAGAUAUCUGGAGGAACACCGGUGGCGAAGGCGGCAUCCUGGACCGGCAUUGACGCUGAGGCGCGAAAGCCAGGGGGAGCAAACGGG
rnacentral:rRNA from 1 species